rnacentral:rRNA from 1 species
AUGGCCGGAGCUGCUGGGAGUCGGAGGAAGAGCGGCGGCGGCGAUCCAAAGAAGAAGAAGCAGCAGCAAGAGCCAUGGCCGGAAGAGAAAUCGCUCAACCAAUAUGCUCUCGCGCGGACAUACCUUCUCGGGGGGGUAACCCUAAUAGGAUACCUGGCGCUUACGUGGUCGACGGUAGUCCUCCUGGGUGGCUUUGUCACCGCGCUGGGGAAGAAGGAUUUUUGGUGCCUCACAUUUAUUAGCAUGAUACAGGCAGCCGGGUCAGUAAUGUCUUCCUAUCUCCGUAUAAAUUCUCCAUCUACAGACCAUCCUUUCUCUGUGUUGUCUGCCACGUUUUUUGUGUUGUUUAUUGUUUAUAUAUAUAGUGUUACUAUUCAUCAUCCAGGGUGCAGAAAAAGUUAUUCUUCACCCGAGGUAAUUUUAAAAGUUAUUCUUCACCCGAGGUAA